AACGAACGCUGGCGGCAGGCCUAACACAUGCAAGUCGAGCGCGCCCUUCGGGGUGAGCGGCGGACGGGUGAGUAACGCGUGGGAACGUGCCCUUUUCUACGGAAUAGCCUCGGGAAACUGAGAGUAAUACCGUAUACGCCCUUUGGGGGAAAGAUUUAUCGGAAAAGGAUCGGCCCGCGUUGGAUUAGGUAGUUGGUGGGGUAAUGGCCUACCAAGCCGACGAUCCAUAGCUGGUUUGAGAGGAUGAUCAGCCACACUGGGACUGAGACACGGCCCAGACUCCUACGGGAGGCAGCAGUGGGGAAUCUUAGACAAUGGGGGCAACCCUGAUCUAGCCACGCCGCGUGAGUGAUGAAGGCCUUAGGGUUGUAAAGCUCUUUCAGCUGGGAAGAUAAUGACGGUACCAGCAGAAGAAGCCCCGGCUAACUCCGUG
rnacentral:rRNA from 1 species